ACAGCAGUAGCCGCGGGAACACGAGGGGGGCAAGCGUUGUUCGGAAUUAUUGGGCGUAAAGGGCGCGUAGGCGGUUUGACUAGUCUGAUGUGAAAUCUCUGGGCUCAACCCAGAGUCUGCAUCGGAAACUGUCGAGCUUGAGUAUGGGAGAGGUGAGUGGAAUUUCCGGUGUAGCGGUGAAAUGCGUAGAUAUCGGAAGGAACACCUGUGGCGAAAGCGGCUCACUGGACCAUUACUGACGCUGAGGCGCGAAAGCUAAGGGAGCAAACAGGAUUAGAUACCCGCGUAGUCCCUGUCUCUUAUAC
rnacentral:rRNA from 1 species